rnacentral:rRNA from 1 species
UACGAAGGGUGCAAGCGUUACUCGGAAUUACUGGGCGUAAAGGGCGCGUAGGCGGUGUGGCAAGUCGGGAGUGAAAUCUCUGGGCUCAACCCAGAGUCUGCUUCCGAAACUGCUGUGCUUGAGUGUGGGAGAGGCGCGUGGAAUUGCAGGUGUAGCGGUGAAAUGCGUAGAUAUCUGCAGGAACACCCGUGGCGAAAGCGGCGCGCUGGACCACUACUGACGCUGAGGAACGAAAGCUAGGGGAGCAAACAGG